GACGAACGCUGGCGGCGUGCCUAAUACAUGCAAGUCGAACGCAGUGGGGACGGGUGAGUAACACGUGGGUAACCUCCCAUCAGAGGGGAUAACACUUGGAAACAGGUGCUAAACCGAUACUGAUGGAUGGACCCGCGGUGCAUGAGCUAGUUGGUGAGGUAACGGCUCACCAAGGCCACGAUGCAUAGCCGACCUGAGAGGGUGAGCGGCCACACUGGUACCGCGACACGGCCCAGACUCCUCAGGGAGGCAGCAUGAGGGAAGCUGCGGCAAUGGACGAAAGUCUGACCGAGCAACGCCGCGUGGGUGAAGAAGGUUUUCGGAUCGUAAAACUCUGUUGUGAGGGUAGCGGAAUCUAACCAGAAAGCCACGGCUAACUACGAGCCAGCAGCCGCGGUAAUUC
rnacentral:rRNA from 1 species